ACAUGAGACGUCCAAAGGACGUUCAGAUUAUGUCCAUAUCGGGUCGGUCGGUCCAGAACCUAAUCUGCACCUAAUCUGCACGUCUAAACGACGUGCAGAUCCAGUACAGUAUUUGGACGUCUGACUACGACGUCUUUUGGACGUUGAUAUGCAGUUCAAUAUUUGAGGGUCCGUUCUUGGACGUCAUUUAGACGUUCAAAACAGGUUCAGAAAAAAAAUAUAAAAACUUAUGCAAUAAAAACGACAAAUGAGUUCUGAUUCAAAACAAUGUAACAUGACGUUUUUUUUUUGUGAAAAUUCUUUAAGGUGAUAAAAUAUGUUAUAUUUUUAAGAAUGAAUGUUCACAACGCGUGCCAAAAUCUACUGCAUUUCUUUUGUGUAAUUUGCAAAUUAAACCAAAUUCAAGUGUGAUUUACAAAAAUAAUCAACAUUGCAAUUUUAAGUUUAACCACAAGGGUGUGUAAAAGCUUAGGUGGCGAGGUGGCGCGUGAUCUUUUUUUGCACGUGAUCAACAGACGUAAUUAAGCGAGCCCCAGCCGUAAACGUACUCAACGGAUUCAACCUGCUGUGAACAGGAGAACAGGACCUACAUACACCCCAAAGGCUCUUUUCAGAGCCAUUUGACCAAGCAUCUUUGUACAUGCCGGUUUUCCUUCAGUAGUGCCAGUUUUCCUAAGAUUUUACCUCGUCCUCCACUGCCUCCAGUAAUUCCUGGUUUUAAGGUGGAGUAAUGGAGUAAAGAUGCAACGGAGCAGCUGAUAAGAAAACAUGCUUAAGACCAUCUUAAACGUGCACCAUCAAGAAAGGGAGGGGUACACAAUAAAAAAUUUUUUUAACAUUACUUUUUGAAUAGAUGCACUUUUUAAAAAUUUUUUUAAAGUAUAUAUAUAUUGUUUAUUUAUGUUGUUUUUAAAUGUUAUAAUUGUAUUGUUUUUAUUUGUUGUAUUUAGCUUUUAUGCAUUUGUACACACACAAACACACAACCACAUUUAUACAAAAUAAGUUUUGAAUAAAUACGUUUAAUGGA